CCUGGUGGCUCAGAGGGUAAAGCGUCUGCCUGCAAUGCAGGAGACCUGGGUUCAAUUCCUGGGUCAGGA
rfam:Ovis aries breed Texel unplaced genomic scaffold TnplacedScaffold_004081869.1, whole genome shotgun sequence.